rnacentral:rRNA from 1 species
UACGGAGGGGACUAGCGUUGUUCGGAAUUACUGGGCGUAAAGCGCACGUAGGCGGAUUUGUAAGUCAGGGGUGAAAUCCCGGGGCUCAACCUCGGAACUGCCUUUGAUACUGCAAAUCUCGAGUCCGGAAGAGGUGAGUGGAAUUCCUAGUGUAGAGGUGAAAUUCGUAGAUAUUAGGAAGAACACCAGUGGCGAAGGCGCGUGACUGGGCCACAACUGACGCUGAGGAACGAAAGCCAGGGGAGCGAAAGGG